rnacentral:misc_RNA from 1 species
GAUGAAGAACGUAGCGAAAUGCGAUAAGUAAUGCGAAUUGCAGAAUUUCCGUGAAUCAUCGAAUCUUUGAACGCACAUUGCGCCCCUUGGUAUCCCGAGGGGCAUGCCUGUUCGAGCGUCAUUUCACCACUCAAGCCUGGCUUGGUGUUGGGCGACGUCCUCUUUGGGGACGCGCCUCGAAACGCUCGGCGGCGUGGCACCGGCUUUAAGCGUAGCAGAAUCUUUCGCUUUGGAAGUCGGGGCCCCGUCUGCCGGAAGACCUGCUCGCAAGGUUGACCUCGGAUCAGGCAGGGAUACCCGCUGAACUUAAGCAUAUCAAUAAGCGGAGGA